rnacentral:rRNA from 1 species
UCCGUAGGCGGUGUGGCAAGUCGGGAGUGAAAUCUCUGGGCUUAACCCAGAGGCUGCUUCCGAAACUGCCGUGCUAGAGUGUGAGAGAGGCGAGUGGAAUUGCGGGUGUAGCGGUGAAACGCGUAGAUAUCCGCAGGAACAUCCGAGGCGAAAGCGGCUCGCUGGAUCACAACUGACGCUGAGGGACGAAAGCUAGGGGAGCAAACAGGAUUAGAUACCCUGGUAGUCCUAGCCCUAAACCAUCAGGACUUGGGGUUUGCCCUGUACGGGGCAAGUCCCGUAGCUAACGCGUUAAGUCCUGCGCCUGGGGAGUACGGUCGCAAGACUGAA